GUGAAUCAUCGAAUCUUUGAACGCAAAUUGCACUCUCCUCGGAGAGUAUGCCUGUUUGAGGGUCAGGCUAUAAAAAAUCGACAUCGUUGCUGUUUCGCGGUGGCGGUCGUCGGAAAUUGGGUCAUCUUAAAUCUUUUGGUUUUAAGCGACUGAAAAUUUUAUUUUUGGUUCCAGGGGCGUUUCUAAGAGUUAUUUCUUUACACGUUUAAGGUAUCGAUUUUUAUUAGGCGUGAGCAUCAUAUGGGAUCGAGCUCAUA
rnacentral:misc_RNA from 1 species